rnacentral:rRNA from 1 species
UGGGGAAUAUUCCACAAUGGGGGAAACCCUGAUGCAGCGACGCCGCGUGAGCGAUGAAGGCUUUCGAGUCGUAAAGCUCUGUCCUAUGGGAAGAUAAUGACGGUACCAUAGAAGAAAGCCCCGGCUAAUUACGUGCCAGCAGCCGCGGUAAUACGUAAGGGGCGAGCGUUGUCCGGAAUUAUUGGGCGUAAAGAGUGCGUAGGCGGCAAAUUAAGUCAGAUGUGAAAACUAAGGGCUCAACCCAUAGAUUGCAUCUGAAACUGAUAUGCUUGGGUCAAGGAGAGGAAAGGGGAAUUCCUAGUGGUGCAGUGGAAUGCGUAGAUAUUAGGAGGAAUACCGGUGGCGAAGGCGACUUUCUGGACUUGAACUGACGCUGAGGCACGAAAGCGUGGGGAGCAAACAAG